CAGUCGCCACGGGAAUACGAAGGGGGCUAGCGUUGCUCGGAAUCACUGGGCGUAAAGGGUGCAUAGGCGGGUUUUUAAGUCAGAGGUGAAAUCCUGGAGCUCAACUCCAGAACUGCCUUUGAUACUGAAAGUCUUGAGUAUGGGAGAGGUGAGUGGAACUGCGAGUGUAGAGGUGAAAUUCGUAGAUAUUCGCAAGAACACCAGUGGCGAAGGCGGCUCACUGGCCCAUAACUGACGCUGAGGCACGAAAGCGUGGGGAGCAAACAGGAUUAGAUACCCCAGUAGUCCCUGUCUCUUAUAA
rnacentral:rRNA from 1 species